rnacentral:rRNA from 1 species
UGACUCUGGGAUAAGCGGUGGAAACGCCGUCUAAUACCGGAUACGACCCGCCACCUCAUGGUGGAGGGUGGAAAGUUUUUCGGUCAGGGAUGGGCUCGCGGCCUAUCAGCUUGUUGGUGGGGUAACGGCCUACCAAGGCGAUUACGGGUAGCCGGCCUGAGAGGGCGACCGGCCACACUGGGACUGAGACACGGCCCAGACUCCUGCGGGAGGCAGCAGUGGGGAAUAUUGCGCAAUGGGCGAAAGCCUGACGCAGCGACGCCGCGUGGGGGAUGACGGCCUUCGGGUUGUAAACCUCUUUUACCACCAACGCAGGCUUCCAGUUCUCUGGAGGUUGACGGUAGGUGGGGAAUAAGGACCGGCUAACUACGUGCCAGCAGCCGCGGUAAUACGUAG